rnacentral:lncRNA from 1 species
AGUGGUGCUAACUGAAUGACAUGGGUGUCAGCAGAACAUGCUGUGGCUUCACAACAAUGGUUUGUAAUAUUAUGAGAUAGCUUUGUUCCUUUUCCUUUUUGUUUCUGAUCUGUUUUUGUUUUUCAGGGAGAUGAAAUUGCUAAGGUAAUCUUCAAAGGCAAGGCAUCAAAAUGGUCCUUUUUUUUUUUUUUUUUUUUUUUUUGAGACAAGUUCUUGCUCUGUUACCCAGGUUGGAGUGCAGUGAUGUGAUCAUAGCAUAAUAAUGCAGCCUCAGCCUGCUGGGCUCAAGUGAUCCUCCCACCUCAGCCUCCCAAGAGCUAGGACUACAUGUGUGCGCUAAUUUUUUAAUUUUUAUUUUUGUAGAGUUGGGGGGGUCUUGUUAUGUUGUCCAGGCUCAUAUAAAAUCUUAGCCACUAGAAAUACCAUUUAUGGCCAAAACCACAUAUCAAGGACUUGACCGCCCUUUCCCUACAUGGGUGUUUCCCUGAACUGUUUUUUUUUGCUGUUGUUGUUUUGGAGACAGAGUCUCUGUUGCCCAGGCUGGAGUGCAGUGGCACAAUCACGGCUCACUGCAACUUCCACCUCCUGGGCUGAAGCCGUUCUCCUGCCUCAGCCUCCCGAGUAACUGGGAUUACAGGCCCGUGCCACCACACCCAGCUAAAUUUUGUGUUUUUUUUGUAGGGAUGGGGUUUCACCAUGCUGCCCAGGCUGCUCUCGAACUCCUGAGCUCAAGUGAUCCACCUGCCUCAGCCUCCCAAAGUGCUAGGAUCAUAGGUAUGAGCAACCAUGCCCGGCCCUGAACUGUUCUUAACCUUCAAAAUAGCGAACAACGACCACUUCUAGCCUGACACCCAGUCCACAGGGAGACUCAUGACUGUCUGCUCUCUUAUUACUUAACAGCGAUUGAUUUUGAGAUUGGGCAAUGUUAUGGGGAUUGACUUAUUGAGAAUAUUUUCUGACGUUUUCUUUUUUUGGAACUGCUUUAGAAGUGAUAAUGUGAACAUUCUCCAAUGACACAUGCUUUUGCUGCUGCAAUUAUACAAGCGCAAACAACUGUUGCACUUGGAUGUGCCCAGGACCUACAGUCUUCCUCUUUGUGCAUGAUAUGUGGGAGCUCAGGCAUGGAGAAAAAUAUCAGAAAAUCAAAGUUCUGAUGGGCUUUGAGAGGGCCAGGUUAAUAUACUUUUAGUUUUACUUCUGUUAAGAUUAGGUUAAAAGUUCCAUAUUAUCAUCAUCUUUAAGUGCUAAUUAUUUACAAGAUUUCAAUGAAGAAUUCUAACAGAAGAAUCCAUAUUUAAGAUCUGCAGUAGACUGAAUUAAAGGCCUAAAUUCUUCAUCUUUUCCUGUAUCCAUGCCAUUUGCCACCUAACUUUUCAGUUUCUCCCUCUAAAGCAGGGUUUCUUAGUCUCAGCACUAUUGACAUUGGGGCUGGAUAAUUCUUUAAUGUGGAGAGCUGUACUGGGCAUUGUAGGAUGUUUAACUGCAUCCAUGGCUUCUGCCUAAUGGAUAUCAGUAUAUUACUCACCACCUGCGAUUGUGACAACCAAAAAUGCCUCUAGACAUUGCCAAUAUCCUCCCGUGGGGGACAGAAUCUCCUCUAGCUGGGAACUACCACUCUAAAGAUGGGUAGUUCUCACACUGACUUCGGACUCAAGCAAUGUAACUUUCUGUGUCAAAGAAAAACUUGAAAUAUGUUUGUGUAGUGAAGCUUGCUCUCUUGUGCCUCUUAUAUCACCAUGAGCAGAAUGUCUCCAGGGAAGCUGCUCUGUCUUCAUUCUGAGCCCUAGAAUGAAGCAUCUGGGGCACAGCCACCUUGGCUGAUUCAAGAAGUGUGUAUCUGAAGAAGUAUGAUCCAAAGAAGUAGGACCACCCCAGCUACCAAGUCCUGAAGUAGAGUUGUUUCAUCCAACUUCAGACAUGUGAGAAAUAGAUGGACAUUGUAUGCCACUGAGAUUUUGUGGUUGUUUGUUAUGCGGCAAAAGCUGACUGAUACAGACCACUUAGCCAAAGUAAAGUAUAUUCAACUCUUAGUUAUAUUUAUUGGAUUUUUUAGUUGCUUACUAUGUCUUGAGACUCUCCCUCACUCCUGUUUCCUUCCCUGAUUGUAGCUAAUCCUCUCUGUCAAGGAUGCUUCUGCUUCAAACUAAUCCUUCCAGCUCUCUUUUGAGAGAUACCUGCAACCACUUGACCACCUACUUGAUGUGAAUUUAGGCAAUGAACUUGGAUUGUUUGUCCUUUUAGUAUUGAAUUUUAUAGGGAUUCUUUAUACGUUCUGGAUACAAAUCCUUUGUCAGAUAUAUAAAUUGCAAAUAUUUUCCCCAAUCUGUUGCAUUUUUUCAGUUUAAUAGCAUCUUCUGAUGAGCAAAAAGUAAAAGUAAUUUUGAUGAACCUAAUCUAUCUUUUUUUGUCUUUUCUGGUUAGAGCAUUUUUU